rnacentral:lncRNA from 1 species
UAAAUGGGUUAAGCAAUCCAUUUUUAUGUAGACUGGAUUAUAUUACUUUGAUAUUCAAGUAGUAUGCUCACUAUCCCAUCAGGCAAAGUACUUCUAAAUUUGAAGCAGUAGUUCUGAUUGUUAAUCUGAAAAAACUAUGAUAAAUAUACUACAGAAUGUUAAGAAAACCUGGAAAUACAUGGAUUUUAGUAGAGUACUUUGAAUAGUGAAAAAUCUUAAAGAUGCAUAAAUUUCUAAAUGGAAUUUCAUUCUCUAUAUGAAGAUGUGAGUAAAAUGG